rnacentral:rRNA from 1 species
UACGUAGGGAGCAAGCGUUGUCCGGAUUUAUUGGGCGUAAAGAGCUCGUAGGCGGUUCAGUAAGUCAGGUGUGAAAGCUCUGGGCUCAACUCAGAGAAGCCACCUGAUACUGCUGUGACUAGAAUCCAGUAGGGGAGUGUGGAACUCCUGGUGUAGCGGUGAAAUGCGCAGAUAUCAGGAAGAACACCAGCGGCGAAGGCGGCACUCUGGGCUGGUAUUGACGCUGAGGAGCGAAAGUGUGGGUAGCAAACAGG